AAAAUGACUCUCGGCAACGGAUAUCUCGGCUCUCGCAUCGAUGAAGAACGUAGCGAAAUGCGAUACUUGGUGUGAAUUGCAGAAUCCCGUGAACCAUCGAGUCUUUGAACGCAAGUUGCGCCCGAAGCCAUCUGGCCGAGGGCACGUCUGCCUGGGUGUCAAAGCAU
rnacentral:rRNA from 1 species